GCCUACACAUGCAAGCCGAGCGGUAGAGAUCUUUCGGGAUCUCGAGAGCGGCGUACGGGUGCGGAACACGUGUGCAACCUGCCUUUAUCAGGGGGAUAGCCUUUCGAAAGGAAGAUUAAUACCCCAUAAUAUAUUGAGUGGCAUCACUUAAUAUUGAAAACUCCGGUGGAUAGAGAUGGGCACGCGCAAGAUUAGAUAGUUGGUGAGGUAACGGCUCACCAAGUCUGCGAUCUUUAGGGGGCCUGAGAGGGUGAUCCCCCACACUGGUACUGAGACACGGACCAGACUCCUACGGGAGGCAGCAGUGAGGAAUAUUGGACAAUGGGAGCGAGCCUGAUCCAGCCAUCCCGCGUGAAGGACGACGGCCCUAUGGGUUGUAAACUUCUUUUGUAUAGGGAUAAACCUACUCUCGUGANAGUAGCUGAAGGUACUAUACGAAGUCCGUAGGCGGAUCUGUAAGUCAGUGGUGAAAUCUCACAGCUUAACUGUGAAACUGCCAUUGAUACUGCAGGUCUUGAGUGUUGUUGAAGUAGCUGGAAUAAGUAGUGUAGCGGUGAAAUGCAUAGAUAUUACUUAGAACACCAAUUGCGAAGGCAGGUUACUAAGCAACAACUGACGCUGAUGGACGAAAGCGUGGGGAGCGAACAGGAUUAGAUACCCUGGUAGUCCACGCCGUAAACGAUGCUAACUCGUUUUUGGGCUUUCGGGUUCAGAGACUAAGCGAAAGUGAUAAGUUAGCCACCUGGGGAGUACGAACGCAAGUUUGAAACUCAAAGGAAUUGACGGGGGCCCGCACAAGCGGUGGAUUAUGUGGUUUAAUUCGAUGAUACGCGAGGAACCUUACCAAGGCUUAAAUGGGAAAUGACAGGCUUAGAAAUUGUGGUUUAAUUCGAUGAUACGCGAGGAACCUUACCAAGGCUUAAAUGGGAAAUGACAGGCUUAGAAAUAGGCUUUUCUUCGGACAUUUUUCAAGGUGCUGCAUGGUUGUCGUCAGCUCGUGCCGUGAGGUGUUAGGUUAAGUCCUGCAACGAGCGCAACCCCUGUCACUAGUUGCCAUCAUUAAGUUGGGGACUCUAGUGAGACUGCCUACGCAAGUAGAGAGGAAGGUGGGGAUGACGUCAAAUCAUCACGGCCCUUACGCCUUGGGCCACACACGUAAUACAAUGGCCGGUACAGAGGGCAGCUACACUGCGAAGUGAUGCAAAUCUCGAAAGCCGGUCUCAGUUCGGAUUGGAGUCUGCAACUCGACUCUAUGAAGCUGGAAUCGCUAGUAAUCGCGCAUCAGCCAUGGCGCGGUGAAUACGUUCCCGGGCCUUGUACACACCGCCCGUCAAGCCAUGGAAGUCUGGGGUACCUGAAGUCGGUGACCGUAACAGGGGCUGCCUAGGGUAAAACAGGUAACUAGGGCUAAGUCGUAACAAGGUAGCC
rnacentral:rRNA from 1 species